rnacentral:rRNA from 2 species
UCUGGCUCAGGACGAACGCUGGCGGCGUGCCUAAUACAUGCAAGUCGAACGAACUCUGGUAUUGAUUGGUGCUUGCAUCAUGAUUUACAUUUGAGUGAGUGGCGAACUGGUGAGUAACACGUGGGAAACCUGCCCAGAAGCGGGGGAUAACACCUGGAAACAGAUGCUAAUACCGCAUAACAACUUGGACCGCAUGGUCCGAGUUUGAAAGAUGGCUUCGGCUAUCACUUUUGGAUGGUCCCGCGGCGUAUUAGCUAGAUGGUGGGGUAACGGCUCACCAUGGCAAUGAUACGUAGCCGACCUGAGAGGGUAAUCGGCCACAUUGGGACUGAGACACGGCCCAAACUCCUACGGGAGGCAGCAGUAGGGAAUCUUCCACAAUGGACGAAAGUCUGAUGGAGCAACGCCGCGUGAGUGAAGAAGGGUUUCGGCUCGUAAAACUCUGUUGUUAAAGAAGAACAUAUCUGAGAGUAACUGUUCAGGUAUUGACGGUAUUUAACCAGAAAGCCACGGCUAACUACGUGCCAGCAGCCGCGGUAAUACGUAGGUGGCAAGCGUUGUCCGGAUUUAUUGGGCGUAAAGCGAGCGCAGGCGGUUUUUUAAGUCUGAUGUGAAAGCCUUCGGCUCAACCGAAGAAGUGCAUCGGAAACUGGGAAACUUGAGUGCAGAAGAGGACAGUGGAACUCCAUGUGUAGCGGUGAAAUGCGUAGAUAUAUGGAAGAACACCAGUGGCGAAGGCGGCUGUCUGGUCUGUAACUGACGCUGAGGCUCGAAAGUAUGGGUAGCAAACAGGAUUAGAUACCCUGGUAGUCCAUACCGUAAACGAUGAAUGCUAAGUGUUGGAGGGUUUCCGCCCUUCAGUGCUGCAGCUAACGCAUUAAGCAUUCCGCCUGGGGAGUACGGCCGCAAGGCUGAAACUCAAAGGAAUUGACGGGGGCCCGCACAAGCGGUGGAGCAUGUGGUUUAAUUCGAAGCUACGCGAAGAACCUUACCAGGUCUUGACAUACUAUGCAAAUCUAAGAGAUUAGACGUUCCCUUCGGGGACAUGGAUACAGGUGGUGCAUGGUUGUCGUCAGCUCGUGUCGUGAGAUGUUGGGUUAAGUCCCGCAACGAGCGCAACCCUUAUUAUCAGUUGCCAGCAUUAAGUUGGGCACUCUGGUGAGACUGCCGGUGACAAACCGGAGGAAGGUGGGGAUGACGUCAAAUCAUCAUGCCCCUUAUGACCUGGGCUACACACGUGCUACAAUGGAUGGUACAACGAGUUGCGAACUCGCGAGAGUAAGCUAAUCUCUUAAAGCCAUUCUCAGUUCGGAUUGUAGGCUGCAACUCGCCUACAUGAAGUCGGAAUCGCUAGUAAUCGCGGAUCAGCAUGCCGCGGUGAAUACGUUCCCGGGCCUUGUACACACCGCCCGUCACACCAUGAGAGUUUGUAACACCCAAAGUCGGUGGGGUAACCUUUU